CCUAGAGUUGUAGGCUUUGCCUGCUAUCUCUUACCCAUGUCUUUUGAGUACCUUCGUUUCCUCGGCGGGUCCGCCCGCCGAUUGGACAAUUUAAACCACUUGCAGUUGCAAUCAGCGUCUGAAAAACUUAAUAGUUA
rnacentral:misc_RNA from 1 species